rnacentral:RNase_P_RNA from 1 species
GUCGCUGCCGGCCAUCGGCCGGGGGAGGAAAGUCCGGGCAACACAGAGCACCACGCAAGCUAACGACUUGAUGGCCGUGAGGUCAUGGGAGCGUAACAGAAAACAACCGCCGGUAAAGGCGUCCGGGAAGGACCGUCGCGCCGCAAGGCCAACGCGGAUCCGCAUCCCGGAAUUUCCGAUCGGUAAGGGUGAAAAGGCGGGGUAAGAGCCCACCGCGGAGGCAGUGAUGUCAUCCGGCCGUACGUCCCGUGGGUUGCAAGACCAUGUAUACCGGCAAUUAAGGGUUGCUCGCCCGAUGCCGGGGGGUAGGUUGCUGGAGGCGGCAGGUGACUGCCGUCGUAGAUAAAUGACAGGGACCCGAAGUCCGCUUCGGGAACAGAACCCGGCUUACAGGGC